UUUUUUUUUUUUUUUUACUUUCUCAUUUGUGACAUGGGAGGGUUAUAUCACUCACCUCAUGGAGAUGUUGUGGGGUUAAUUAGAUGAGGUUAAAUAUGAACAUUGAUUAAUGUUCAUAUAGAGUUUUGGUAUCAUUGGACAGAAUGUGCAGACAAAGAUGCAGCCUCAGUAAAACACUAAACCAACACGAAAAUGACAAACAGUUAAUCACCAGACCAGCUUACCAAGGGUUACAAUGCCUUGUCCUUCAUUGUAAAUGUUUUAAAUCAGAUUGCCUGUUUUCCUAACAUGUAUACUGUAGUUCAUUCACAGCUACUGGACCAAGCUGGAAUUAAUCAUGACAAAUCCUAUGUUCUACAUUUUUACCUGAGGUCAAAUUAGAGGAUCACAAUGGUCUCUCUGUCCUUAAAAUGCGUUCUAUUUCAGAUCUGCCCUCUCACUUAGCUAUAUUUUGGAGCAGAUAUUGAAUCUGAAAGGACGAUAGUCUGCAGGAGUGUAGAGGUCAGGAAACUUUGAUUAGUACAAAGAAAUGCUUUUUAAAAGCAGUAUCUUCUGCUAUUUUUUAUAAUGCCAAUGUGAUGAAUUAUGAAACUGGGCAUUACAAAAUGUUACAGCGUAUGACACUAUCUUGUUUCCAAUGUCAAUUUUUGUUUCCCCAGAUUUAGCUUUUUACUUUAGCUCAGUAACUAUAAUUUCCAUCUAAUUAUGAGUUCUUAUUAUUAGCAGGGUAAAGAAGUGGGGACAAAACCUGGGACAAAACCCAUCAGUCUGCUAAGCAGUGCCUUCACAGAUGAGACUGGUGUGGAGACAGGACGAGCACCAUUUUCAGUUGGACAUGAGUCGCAGGCUUCCUGGUCCUAUUCCAAGUAUAUAGAAGCCUUGGAGCAGGAGAGAGUACUUCUUAAAAUGCAGGAAGAUCUGGAGGAAGCUUCAUCAUCUGUCCUUACAGGUUGUUAACCAAGCUCUGUAGUUUAGGAGAACAAGCUUGUAGCUUUGGUAAAAUUCUCCUUUAGAUUUGCAUAUAUAAAUCUCUGCCUCUCUUAUGCUGUCUGCAUGGGAAUUUGCUCUCUACACCAUACUUGUGAGUGACAGUAAGUUUUCUAAGAAAGGGAAAGUGAAAGUUGCAGGGUAUCAGCAUUGCCUUUACUGCAGAGAGGAAUAUGGACAUUCUUCAUUCUGCAGAGUGAUAUGGCAAUCCUAUUUGGUUCACACACACAUUUCACCCCCCUGGCUUCUCGUGCUUCAUGAACUUACAUACCACCAGAAAGAUGCAACUUUUUUCUCACCAGUUUGUCAGUGUGCUUUUGGGGGAUGUAAGAAGCAUUGCUUCAUCCUUGUUUCAGCCAUGAAUAUCUUCUUACGUCUUCCCAAAUGAUAUGAUGACCUGUUUGUUCAUUAAAUAGCUCAACUUAGCAGUAGCACUAGCAAUAGCACUAUGUAAUAUUAAACCCCUUCAGUUUCCCAUCAUUUUAAUUUUCUUUUCAUACACAAGUACCUCGUCUAUGUCCUUCCCGAAGCCUGGAAACUCUGAAAAAUCCACCGUUUCUCCAAAGAGUAGUGUGAUUUUGGAGAAACACUCAAAUCUUCCCAAGAAGCAGAAAGCGAGUACCAGAUGCCAACAAGUGAGCUUUGAAAACUGGAUUCUUAAAAGCUAAUUUUCCUGCUGUCAGUGUUGAUUCUUAUUAGUAGCAAGUUAUCCCACUCCAAAUCAAGUUUAACUGAAGCUGUACAGCCUCAACGUGAAGGCAAAAUUAUUCUUCACUCCAAUCAUGGUUAGUGGACCUAAUGUUGACCAGAUGGAAUUUUGUUGCAAAAUGGUAGUCUCUGAAAUGCUGUUAUGUAAGCUUUCCAGUUAAAGUAUUUUAAAUAGGGGUGUGAGAUAACUGGAGGAAGCUCAGACCUCAUGGAGUUACUGGCAAAGGCUUGACACAGAACUAGCAAUAGAUCAUCUCUGCCAAGGCCAAUUAAAUAUUAGAAUGGAAGAAAGAAGUGGGACAGCAAAGAGGUCUGAUAAAGACAGAAAACCAGAGUUUGCUUGAAAGCUUGAAUUCCUAGAUGGAAGAAUCCCCUGGAGGUUUUGGUUUGGUUUGUUUUUUUAAGCCUAUGCUGAAAUUAGAUGGACUUGAAAAAAUUAAUAGAACUUGGACUAUUGCUGCCCUUCCUCAUCUGCUCCUCUUUCCUCUUCUAAUUCUGUACUUUAGCACUGCUAUUUUAGGGAAGUUGGUGUCCUGCCCUUGCUAGUCCUUCUGAACUUCCCAGUGUCUGAACACACUCUUCCCAUGGCAGCAUUUUCUGUAUGUGGCUUUAGAGACAACUGCAGCACUGCUUGGUUUUCCUCAUGUUCUCUUAUUUUCCUCCUACCACAUCCUCUAGUUGCAGCUAAAGUCUUCCAGUCACCUUGGGCCUUAUGCACAUCUGCAGAUAUUACUAUAUUUCAUACAUUCAUGCCUUUUGUACUGCAGUUCUGCUUCACACAUGGCUGUAUCAGUGUGGGGAGUCCUUGUGCAGGGGCUCUGGUCCUGCUCUGUAGCUGAGAAGCCUGCAGCUGGGCCCAGUGCUCAACAAGGGCCUACAAGGCAGCUGCAGCACUUGCUGCAGUCCAGCCCAGCAGUCCCUGGCCCACCCUGUUAUUCAAAACCUGAAGCUGCAGUCCUGCCAGGCAUCAGGCUGUGCUACAGGCUCACACAAUGAUAAAGUAGCGGUCUUGAGCUGUUUGAGAGGUCUCUCCGAACAGCUUCAGUUGCAGCCUGCUCUGCAAUACCAUUGAUUUGCCUGCGCUGCCCAGUCCCUCCCAAUAGCUCAUGUGUUCCCACUGCCUGCAAGUGGUUUCCUCUUCUUCCAUCACGACCCGCUGGUGGUGUCCUCAACUGUGCUCUGCAGUGAUCUGAUCGCUCUGCUGGUAGGGUGAGAUGUCUACAAAAGACUACUGCUGCUCACGAUGGGACAGCUUCUCUCCACUUUGUUACAAAGGUGUUCAGACCUUGUGUAUUUGGGUAUAAAUGGCAGAUGCUGGCAGCAGGGGGGCUGUAGGAGCAGCCUCUUUGAGGAAAGGCCAGGGCUGCUCCAUGCUAGAUACAGCCCAUUCCAGUCAGCUCCAACGGACCCAUCACAGGACACAGCUGAGCCCCUCAUGGUGGCACCUUGGGGAAAUGUAUUUAAGAAAGAGGAAAGAAAGACAGAGAGAGGAGGAGAGAAUGAAAAGAGUGAAAAACAACAGAGGAAACACCAAGGCCAGAGAAAGAGGAGGAGGUGCUUUAUGGUGGAGCAGAUAUUCCCUGCAGCCCUUGGAGAACACAUGCUGCAGCAGAGGAAAAGAGGGAGAAGGAAGAAGGGGCUUCCCAGUGCCUCACCAAAGGAACUAAGUGCAACUUGUGGUCAUAACAAGGAGGGGAGAAGAGGUGCUUGUAGUGAACUUGAACCUGGAAAAGGCAGGAAAAGUGCCUUCUCUAAGUGUGUAAAUGUCUGUUUCUUCUUUUUCUUGUUUUUGUCUCCCACUACCUGAAUCAGUAAUGAUUUAUUCUAACUGACAAUAUAUUAAUUUCCCCAGUUCAAGUCUGUUUUGCCUGUGACAGUAAUUGGUGAGCAACCUUUAUCUUGAUCCACAAGCUUUCCCUUUCCAGUUUUUCCUCUUUUCUCUCCUUGUCCUGCUGGGGGGGUUGGGUGGGGUGAGGUGGGGGAAAUAAGGGAGUGAGCAGCUGGGUGGGAGACUGGCUGCUAGUGAGGGUCAACACAACCACACCUUUUUUCCCUCUUUUUGAUGCAUUUAUUGAAGAACUGUUCUGACAAUUUCAACUGGCUGCAGCACAGCAAUGACAUUCUUUUAUCUUUUGCAGGCAAAAUAAAAUCUCUCUGAAGGAAGGGAAUGGAGAGACAUUCAAUGAAGGUGGUCAGGAGACACAAAAUUAAUGUGCAUGCAAGGUUUGGUUUGUCCUUACAUUUCCAGAGCGAAGAUGAUGACCUAUUAUUAAGAACCAUGCGACAUUAGUCGGGUAGAAAAUAAACAUCUUCCAGUAUGUUCCAUAUCA
rnacentral:lncRNA from 1 species